GUGUGUGUAUAUACGAUCGAUCAGGGACAGAGGGUGAGGUGAAACCCUAGUUUCACCAAAAUCCAUCAAAUUGAAGGGGGAUUGAAGGGCUAAACUAAUGCAUGAACCAAGAUUUUCAAUCACUUUAGCGUUUCUACCAUCAUGUAAGUCGAAUUUUGGAACGUGUCAAGGAGAGGUCAAGCAUAGGAGGGUAACGGGUCAAGAUAAGGCAAGGUGACAAAUACACUUAUUGGAGUACUCGAGGUAUGGGAUCGUUGGCUUCAUGAAGAAAUGGAGCUGGAUUUGGAUAAGAGUAUUUAAGAAAGCGCUUGGACAAUUCCACGACUACUUUAUAGAAUGCUCUAUGAAAUUCUAUUAU
rnacentral:lncRNA from 1 species